AAGAUGAAGGCCAUGCGCCGCUUCUUCGAGGAGGGCGACAAGGUCAAGGUGACGCUGCGUUUUCGCGGCCGCGAGAUGGCGCACCAGGAUCUCGGCUAUAAGCUGCUGGUGCGCGUCAAGGAAGAGAUGAGCGAGAUCGCCAAGGUGGAGAGCGAGCCGCAACUUGAAGGCCGCCAGAUGAUCAUGGUGAUGGCGCCGCGCUGACGCGCCGGCCACUCUCGUGCCAGAUGGUCGAAGGCCGCCGGCACCGCCGGCGGCUUUUUCUAUUGGACGGGUCAGCGGCUUCUAUUUACUUCUCUAGAUGGGUGAAGGGCAUGUAAGCUUUUAU
rnacentral:misc_RNA from 1 species